rnacentral:snRNA from 1 species
GUGCUCACUUCGGCAGCACAUAUACUAAAAUUGAAAGGAUACAGAGUAGAUUAGCAUGGCCCUUGCACAAGGAUGACACGCAAAUUCGUGAAGCCUUCCAUAUUUUU